rnacentral:rRNA from 1 species
UACGUAGGGUGCGAGCGUUGUCCGGAAUUAUUGGGCGUAAAGGGCUCGUAGGCGGUCUGUUGCGUCAGGAGUGAAAACUCGGGGCUUAACCCCGAGCCUGCUUCUGAUACGGGCAGACUAGAGGUAUGCAGGGGAGAACGGAAUUCCUGGUGUAGCGGUGAAAUGCGCAGAUAUCAGGAGGAACACUGGUGGCGAAGGCGGUUCUCUGGGCAUUACCUGACGCUGAGGAGCGAAAGUGUGGGGAGCGAACAGG